UGGACCGAUAGGCAGCGGUGGUGUUCUGCUGCAAAACGAAACUACUGUCUGAUGCACUAUGACGUGCAUGCACUAAGACGUACAGGAGACAGAGGUGCGCGCUAUUGGCUAGGAGACGUGUUCAGAAGAAAAGCUAUUUCCGGACAGUGUCUACUGUCUUUGACGUUACAGACAUCUAGACGUUAGCUUAGUGGUUCAAUAUGCCUCAAACAAAGUCAAUGGAUACAAUCCAGCAGCAGACACUUCAGAUCGUCCUCUGCCUCUUUCAGGAGGACCUGGGGUGUAUUGAGGUGGAUGGAGUCGGCGAUGGUGACAAGUUUGACCCUGUUCCGAUCGCUAAUAAACUGAAGGAGGUGGCAGACCAACUGCAGAAACAGUGGGACAAGGAUAUCCCAGCAGCACUGCUUCGGGACGCAAACCAAGACAUCAGCAGUGCCUUCAGCAGUGCUGUGGACAGUAUUUGCCUGAGCCCCGGGGUUUGUGAGGGGCUUCCAGAGAUGAAGCUGCUCGCAGUGGCGGUGGCCCUAGGUCUCUACCUGAAAACACACGCCCCGGGGAACGUCUCCAACAUCCAGCAGGCAACCGCCAGCUUCCUGCGCAGCCGGGUGGAACCCUUUGUUGAUCAACAGGGCGGUUGGGGUGCCGUGGCAGACCUCUGAACCAGCCAUGUCGUUGUGACCAACAGUCUGACCUGAGCCAAGACUAUUCAAGAAGGUUUUUUACAACCCAGGAGGUCAAAACCACCAGCAUAAAACCGACUGGCCUGAUCCAUACUGAUUUUAUUGGUUAUUAUUUUUAUUAUUCCACUUGAUUAUGAAGGUUUUUUCAAUUUCUUAGCUUUUCUCUAAAAUGUACACCAUAGAAGGAAAAAGUAAGUUUACAGUAAGAAGUUUACAUAUGUUUACACAUGCACAAUCGCGUGAUGUGCAUGUGAAAAGUGAUGACAUGAUCACCUUUGUUGAUAGUAGAAUAUCAAUAGGAAUGGGUAUAGGAAUAUGAACACAUGAUUUAACUGAUGUAGUCGGUAUAUUCAGGUCAGAUCACAGGGAAAUACCAAGCUUAUAAGGAAAAUACUUGAAACCAGCCUCUUCCAGGAGACAGCGACCACAAUCAAACAUGAACCUGAUGAAUGGGAAGCUUCCUCAUGGGGAUGUUGUGCUGCAUGGCAAACGUAUUCCCAUACACCACAAUGAUUGUUAUUCCAUAAGUGCAAGGUUUAAUCUUGUGUAGUGUGUAAUGUAUAAACACUGUCUACAUCACACAUCUACGUAUCACGGGAGAAUCUAUAUAUGUGGCGUUUAUCUGUAAUGAAGUGAAAGGAACCAAGUGAGUAGAAAAAUGCAUUGCGAACUACCGUCCUGGUUGGUGAAUGUUUGUAAAUCACUAAUGUGCCUCUGUCACAAAAUAAAAAUGACUGUCCUAGGCCCAUCUUCGUACAUUUCUGGCUACAAGGCCCAACCUUUCACCUACAGAUUGUGUUUAAAGUCACAGCCUCUAGAGGGCAGCACAAUAUUAGUAAUAAGCAGGCGAGGACAAUUAAUGUUAAUUCAAGUAAAGUAACAACGUGCGUUUCAAUACGGUUCACAUUUAGUUCCAAUAGCACUGUUGAUCAAAAUAUAUAAACACAAGAUUUAGGGAAGUUGGGUAUAUUUGAGGAAAAAAACUAAUUUGCAUAUUUGUUGCUAUCAGUUAGAGAUAUUUCAUAACUCGGAACCCCUAAGAUUUAUAUCUUUAAUACAGGGGCCCAAAACAUUGCAAGACAAAGUGAGCUGAAUCUGCCUUUGCAGUGUUACAUCCGUCAGAUUUUCAUCAGGGCUCAGGAAGUAGGCCUAUAGUUAAAAUAGUCUGGCUUACAGAAAUGAAAACUCUAGUGCUCCUAGAUCUAGAAAUAGCUAAAUAAGGUAUGGGGUACAUUAAACCAGUGGUUCUCACCCCCAGGGGUCCGCGGUGCAUUGCCAAGGGGUCCGGGAAAAGUUUUUGGGCCAAUAGUAACUCUUUUAUAACAUUACGUCAAUCUGUCAAAGCAUUCUCAGAGUCUGAUAACGCCAAGUAGCCUACUUUGAAGACAAUUGUUAAAUAUUUAAAAAGGCCUAAUACUGAUAAUCCCACACAAGCCGGAAAGGUGAGGAAGUACAACGAAGACUACACUUUAUCUACAUUGGAAGCCUUUGGAUUUAUUGAGAACAGUGGUGGGAAGCCGAUGUGUGUCUUCUGUUAGAUAAUGAAGCAAUGAAGGGAGCUUGCCUAAUGUUCCCACAGCCCUAUGUUCCCACAGUCCUACACCAAAUGCCCAAUUUUCCCACAUUUCACUGGAACUGUUGGAUCCUGCCUCACUUAUCGGAAUUGAGCUUUGUUUAUCCCUAACCCUAACCUUCUCGUUAAUUUACUAUAGAGUGCUUCCAAAAAAUCUUGUGGGAGGACCUAAUUUUGAAAAUGUCCCAGAAAUGUGUGACUAACCCAGAUAGCAAAAUUGAGUUGAAUCAAUGAUUAAAUAUGGUUUGGCAGAAAUGUUGAUACUACGUUGAAGCCUGACAUUGAAACGAUGUUGAAAGUGUCCCCUCUACUUUUUGUUGAAUCAACAUUGGAUCUUCAACCAUAUCGAUAUUGAAUUAAUGGUGAUUCAACCAUCAUCUAAAUGAGAAUCUACAUUUAAAUUUCAAUUGAUUUUAUGUUGAAAUAAUGUUACUUAUCAAUGGCGAAUCAACCAUCAUCUAAAUGAGAAUCUUCAUUUAAAUUUCAGUUGAUUUUAUGUUGAAAUAAUGUUACUGAAUCAAUAUUGGUUCAACCAUUAUCUAAAAGGUAUACUAAAUAUUAAUUUAUAUGAAUUAAUGAGUAUAAUAUACAUGUAUUACAAUGAGUGAUGGCCAUUUUAGCUUGCAGAACAAUCAACAUCAACCUUGAAAUAAACUCUUUAGCAGUAAGACUAUCAGCCAAGAGUGUUUAUGUCAAUGAAACAAAUGUGGUAUUGUCAACAAUAGGACUAACUGUAUAAUAACAACAGACACAUUUUGGAUUCAUUUAGUUACUAUGGAUAAAACCAUUUAUUAGAGAACAAC
ensembl:lncRNA